rnacentral:rRNA from 1 species
GAUGAACGCUGGCGGCGUGCCUAACACAUGCAAGUCGAGCGUGAACCCUGCGAAUGAAACUUCGGUCGAUUUUGCAGGGGGAAAGCGGCGGACGGGUGAGUAACGCGUAGGUAACCUGCCCCAUACUGAGGGAUAGCCUCGGGAAACCGGGAUUAAUACCUCAUAACACCGUAUAUUCGCAUGGAUGUGCGGUCAAAGAUUUAUCGGUAUGGGAUGGGCCUGCGUCUGAUUAGCUGGUUGGUGGGGUAACGGCCUACCAAGGCGACGAUCAGUAGCCGGCCUGAGAGGGUGAUCGGCCACAUUGGAACUGAGACACGGUCCAAACUCCUACGGGAGGCAGCAGUGGGGAAUAUUGCACAAUGGCGAAAGCCUGAUGCAGCAACGCCGCGUGAGCGAAGAAGGCCUUUGGGUCGUAAAGCUCUGUCGGGUAGGAAGAUAAUGACGGUACUACCCGAGGAAGCCCCGGCUAACUACGUGCCAGCAGCCGCGGUAAUAGUACUCU